rnacentral:rRNA from 1 species
AUUGAACGCUGGCGGCAGGCUUAACACAUGCAAGUCGAGCGGGGAAGGGUAGCUUGCUACCUAACCUAGCGGCGGACGGGUGAGUAAUGCUUAGGAAUCUGCCAUUUAGUGGGGGACAACAUUCCGAAAGGAAUGCUAAUACCGCAUACGUCCUACGGGAGAAAGCAGGGGAUCUUCGGACCUUGCGCUAAAUGAUGAGCCGAAGUCGGAUUACCGAGUUGGUGGGGUAAAGGCCUACCAAGGCGGCGAUCUGUAGCGGGUCUGAGAGGAUGGUCCGCCACACUGGGACUGAGACACGGCCCAGACUCCUACGGGAGGCAGCAGUGGGGAAUAUUGGACAAUGGGCGGAAGCCUGAUCCAGCCAUGCCGCGUGUGUGAAGAAGGCCUUAUGGUUGUAAAGCACUUUAAGCGAGGAGGAGGCUACUUAGAUUAAUACUCUAGGAUAGUGGACGUUACUCGCAGAAUAAGCACCGGCUAACUACGUGCCAGCCGCCGCCGUAA